UUGGCUACAAGGGUGUCCAAUUUGGGACCAGAACCGGGAACCAUCCCAAAACUGUCCCGUUAAAACCUAGUACCGGACCACCCCAUUAAUAAAUGGGACGAUACUGGAAUCUGAUUUUGGUACCGAAUAAUAAAUGGGAUGGGACGGUUCU